CAUACUCGUGGUCAAGAAAGACUUCCUGAUCAGGCCUCGAAGACGGGACCCGAGACAAGCAAUUAGGAACAUCCUCCUCUCACAGCAUCCUGGGAGCUGAGCUCAUGCGUGUCCUUGAGUGCAGGAGAUGAGGAAGCUGAGGCUCUGAACCUCGAUGCAGAACUGUCUCUCUAGAAGACUCUCAAACACCUGGAGUCAUCCUUGCUACCUGCAUACUCCGUAUGAAUGUGGCAAAGUCGCAUCUGGUGAGGCACAGAGAAACACCCGAGUGUGAGUCUUCCAGAAUGACGAUGGAUUUCUUCAACACUGAGACACCCUGAGGCUACGUUAAGCUUCUCAAAACAACAGCAAUAAUAGUAAAAUCGACCUUCCCAUCAGAUCAGCUGAGCCUUUCUCACAAUUGUGCUGUCGUCGAGGCUCUUCCUGCCCAAACCCUUCCCUCCCCGUCUCCUUUCGGACAGACCAGACCUUCGUUUGGGUACAAUCACCCUCCUGUCCCCUCCUGCUCCUUCCUCGGAAUCCUUCAUGGACACUGCGCUGGACAGAUGGCUUGCACCUCGAACCCCGUAGCUGGGCUACUUUUCCGAGGAUCCUAACACAGAGGCCAUCAGAUCCCUGGCUUCCGCUGCGGUGUCAGACCCUGAUGGCCGCGUUCCAGGAUGAGCUCCUGCUGCUGGUCUAGAGCUGGCGAUGGCCC